rnacentral:rRNA from 1 species
GUUCUUACUGCCAUGCCAACGUUCGCCCUCAUGGCACUGCGCUUCCCUGCCAAGCUCCUCAAGGAAAUCGACAAGUGUAUACGCCGCUUCCUCUGGGGCCAGGACAUGGAGCUCUCUGGCGGCAGCUGCAAGGUUAGCUGCGGGCGGGUCUGCACGCCGAUUGAGCACGGAGGGUUGGGCAUCCUCGACCUGACUAAAUUCAGUCGCGCCCUAAGACUUCGAUGGCUUUGGCACGCCUGGAAAAUCCCGGAGCGACCGUGGGCGGGGACCGAGCCGCCCUGCGACGCCUCCGACAGGGCCCUCUUC